rnacentral:rRNA from 1 species
GUGACCGAAAGAUGAAAAGAACCCCUGUUAGGGGAGGGAAAGAACCUGAAACCAUACGCUUACAAGCUGUCGGAGCACGAUUGUCUUCGGACACGUGUGACGGCGUGCCUUUUGCAUAAUGAUCCGGCGAGUUACCGUCAAUGGCUCGAUUAAGGCCUUCCGGGCCGAAGUCUCAGCGAAAGCGAGUCUGAAUAGGGCGUUUUGUCAGUGGCGGUAGACGCGAAACCAGGUGAACUACCCAUGAGCAGGUUGAAGCGCGGGUAAGACUGCGUGGAGGACCGAACCCACCUAGGUUGAAAACUGGGGGGAUGACUUGUGGGGAGGAGUAAAAGUCUAAUCAAACCUGGAGAUAGCUCGUUCUCUCCGAAAUAGCUUUAGGGCUAGCCUUGAGCCACUACGUAACGGGGGUAGAGCACUGAUUUGGACUGGGGGGCUUCCCGCCUACCCACCCUAGUUAAACUCCGAAUACCGUUACGACUAUCUCAGGAGUCAGUCCACGAGGGAAAAGCUUCGUGGUCGAGAGGGAAACAACCCAGAUCGCCUGCUAAGGUCCCAAAGUCUUGCUAAGUCACUAAGGAUGUUAAGAUACUGUGACAGCCAGGAUGUUGGCUUAGAAGCAGCCAUCAUUUAAAGAAAGCGUAACAGCUCACUGGUCUAAAUAAGGGGUCCCGCGCCGAAAAUGUACCGGGGCUCAAGCCAUACACCGAAACUGCGGGUGUGCGUAAGCACGCGGUAGCGGAGCGUUCUGUAAGUCUGCGAAGGGAGACCCGUGAGGGCUCCUGGAGAUAUCAGAAGUGCGAAUGCUGACAUGAGUAACGAUAAAGGGAGUGAGAGACUCCCUCGCCGAAAGUCCAAGGGUUCCUGCUUAAAGCUAAUCUGAGCAGGGUAAGCCGGCCCCUAAGGCGAGGCCGAAAGGCGUAGUCGAUGGGAACCAGGUUAAUAUUCCUGGGCCAUGUGGUGGUGACGGAUUGCGAGGGUUGUUCACACUUAUCGGAUUGUGUGGGCCGCUUAGCAGUUCCUGGAAAUAGCCCCACUAUCGGACCGUACCCGAAACCGACACAGGUGGACUGGUAGAGAAUACCAAGGCGCUUGAGAGAACGAUGUUGAAGGAACUCGGCAAAAUACCUCCGUAAGUUCGCGAGAAGGAGGCCCAGUUUCUACGCAAGUAUUGGCUGGGGGCACAAACCAGGGGGUGGCGACUGUUUACUAAAAACACAGGGCUCUGCGAAGUCGCAAGACGACGUAUAGGGUCUGACGCCUGCCCGGUGCCGGAAGGUUAAGAGGAGGAGUGCAAGCUCCGAAUUGAAGCCCCGGUAAACGGCGGCCGUAACGAUAACGGUC